GAUGAACGCUGGCGGCGUGCCUAAUACAUGCAAGUCGAACGAGGUGCUUUUGUAGCAAUACGAGAGUAUCCUAGUGGCGAACGGGUGAGUAACGCGUUGGUGACCUACCCCAAAGUGUGGAAUAACGGUCCGAAAGGAUUGCUAAUACCGCAUGUGGUUAUUGGAUCUAGAAACCGAUAACUAAAGGAGCAAUUCGCUUUGGGAGGGACCUGCGUCCCAUCAGCUAGUUGGUGAGGUAAUGGCUCACCAAGGCUACGACGGGUAGGGGACCUGAGAGGGUGACCCCCCACAAUGGAACUGAAACACGGUCCAUACACCUACGGGUGGCAGCAGUAGGGAAUAUUGCACAAUGGGCGAAAGCCUGAUGCAGCAACGCCGCGUGUGCGAUGAAGGCCUUCGGGUCGUAAAGCACUUUUCUGGGAGAUGAGAAAGGACAGUAUCUCAGGAAUAAGUCUCGGCUAACUACGUGC
rnacentral:rRNA from 1 species